UACGAAGGGUGCGAGCGUUGUCCGGAAUCACUGGGCGUAAAGGGCGCGUAGGCGGCCCCGUGCGCGUGCCGUGAAAGCCCGGGGCUCAACCCCGGGUCGGCGGUGCGGACGGCGGGGCUGGAGCACGUCAGGGGCAGGCGGAAUUCCGGGUGUAGCGGUGGAAUGCGUAGAGAUCCGGAAGAACACCGGUGGCGAAGGCGGCCUGCUGGGACGUGGCUGACGCUGAGGCGCGACAGCGUGGGGAGCAAACAGG
rnacentral:rRNA from 1 species